GGGCGUAAGGGCUCGCAGGCGGUUUCUUAAGUCUGAUGUGAAAGCCCCCGCGCUCUACCGGGGAGGGUCAUUGGAAACUGGGAAACUUGAGUGCACAAGAGGAGAGUGGAAUUCCACGUGUAGCGGUGAAAUGCGUAGAGAUGUGGAGGAACACCAGUGGCGAAGGCGACUCUCUGGUCUGUAACUGACGCUGAGGAGCGAAAGCGUGGGGAGCGAACAGGAUUAGAUACCCUGGUAGUCCACGCCGUAAACGAUGAGUGCUAAGUGUUAGGGGGUUUCCGCCCCUUAGUGCUGCAGCUAACGCAUUAAGCACUCCGCCUGGGGAGUACGGUCGCAAGACUGAAACUCAAAGGAAUUGACGGGGGCCCGCACAAGCGGUGGAGCAUGUGGUUUAAUUCGAAGCAACUUUAAGAACCUUACCAGGUCUUGACAUCCUCU
rnacentral:rRNA from 1 species